UACGUAGGUCCCGAGCGUUAUCCGGAUUUAUUGGGCGUAAAGCGAGCGCAGGCGGUUAGGUAAGUUUGAAGUGAAAGGCUGUGGCUUAACCAUAGUAUGCUUUUGAAACUGUUUAACUUGAGUGCAGAAGGGGAGAGUGGAGUUCCAUGUGUAGCGGUGAAAUGCGUAGAUAUAUGGAGGAACACCGGUGGCGAAAGCGACUCUCUGGCCUGUAACUGACGCUGAGGCGCGAAAGCGUGGGUAGCAAACAGG
rnacentral:rRNA from 1 species